UUAAUUGAAACCAAAAUAGAGGUUUAUCACUGUUAAUGAUAUUAAUGGGCCAAAAUCCCCAAUUAAA
rnacentral:tRNA from 2 species